GCGAACGCUGGCGGCGUGCCUAAUACAUGCAAGUCGAACGCACUCUCGUUUAGAUUGAAGGAGUUUGCUCCUGAUUGAUAAACAUUUGAGUGAGUGGCGGACGGGUGAGUAACACGUGGGUAACCUGCCCUAAAGUGGGGGAUAACAUUUGGAAACAGAUGCUAAUACCGCAUAAAACCUAACACCGCAUGGUGUAGGGUUGAAAGAUGGUUUCGGCUAUCACUUUAGGAUGGACCCGCGGUGCAUUAGUUAGUUGGUGAGGUAAAGGCUCACCAAGACCGUGAUGCAUAGCCGACCUGAGAGGGUAAUCGGCCACACUGGGACUGAGACACGGCCCAGACUCCUACGGGAGGCAGCAGUAGGGAAUCUUCCACAAUGGACGAAAGUCUGAUGGAGCAACGCCGCGUGAGUGAAGAAGGUUUUCGGAUCGUAAAACUCUGUUGUUGGAGAAGAAUGUAUCUGAUAGUAACUGAUCAGGUAGUGACGGUAUCCAACCAGAAAGCCACGGCUAACUACGUG
rnacentral:rRNA from 1 species